GAUGAACGCUGGCGGCGUGCCUAAUACAUGCAAGUCGAGCGAACAGACGAGGAGCUUGCUCCUCUGACGUUAGCGGCGGACGGGUGAGUAACACGUGGAUAACCUACCUAUAAGACUGGGAUAACUUCGGGAAACCGGAGCUAAUACCGGAUAAUAUAUUGAACCGCAUGGUUCAAUAGUGAAAGACGGUUUUGCUGUCACUUAUAGAUGGAUCCGCGCCGCAUUAGCUAGUUGGUAAGGUAACGGCUUACCAAGGCAACGAUGCGUAGCCGACCUGAGAGGGUGAUCGGCCACACUGGAACUGAGACACGGUCCAGACUCCUACGGGAGGCAGCAGUAGGGAAUCUUCCGCAAUGGGCGAAAGCCUGACGGAGCAACGCCGCGUGAGUGAUGAAGGUCUUCGGAUCGUAAAACUCUGUUAUUAGGGAAGAACAAAUGUGUAAGUAACGAUGCACGUCUUGACGGUACCGAAGCAGAAAGCCACGGCUAACUACGU
rnacentral:rRNA from 1 species